rnacentral:lncRNA from 1 species
ACAGAGCCUGACAGGGGCAGAUGCACUGGAAGGACCCUGUCUGGGUUUAGCAACCAAGCAGCCAUCCUGGCCCCACAGGUGUGGGACUUCUGGGUCUUCUCCUGGCUGGCUUCUUGCUAGAGGAUUUCAAGAGACCCAGCAAGACUGUAUUGUCCCACUGAAUGCUCAAGAUAUUGGUUAGAAGUAGAAAAGGGGAGGGGGUAGUAUUUAGCCUCUGUCCCCACUAAAAAUUAUUCCCAAUUGUCAUUUGUGUCAUCUGUUUAGCUUACAGUUUUAAUCCUUGUCAAAAUGAUCAUUUGCCAGGGUGCAUAAAACACCCUAUUUGAUGAGAACUGGUUUUAAAGGAAAAUGGGGCCAUCAGAAGGAAGCCGGUUGGUGUGAAGAGACGUCUGGGAAGAGCCCCUGGCGAGGGCCCUCAUUCCACUGGGUGACCCAGAAGGAGAAAACCGCGAUGGCGCUUCUCAUUUGAAAUGUUUUCUUUAUGGACAGUGUUUAGCAAUUGUUAUAAUGUGUACUUUUGUUGAUUGAUCUGUAUACAUAUGUAAAAUAAUUUGUUCUCUGAGUUAAUUUUGUUGGAACAAAGACUUUAGUGCUUCCUACAUUAAAACAUUUUACUG